rnacentral:rRNA from 1 species
UACAGAGGUGGCAAGCGUUGUUCGGAAUUACUGGGCGUAAAGGGCGCGUAGGUGGCCUUCUAAGUUGAACGUGAAAUCCCUGGGCUCAACCCAGGAACUGCGUCCAAGACUGGGAGGCUUGAAUCCGGGAGAGGGAUGCGGAAUUCCAGGUGUAGCGGUGAAAUGCGUAGAUAUCUGGAGGAACACCGGUGGCGAAGGCGGAUCUCUGGGCCUUACCUGACGCUGAGGCGCGAAAGCUAGGGGAGCAAACAGG